GACGAACGCUGGCGGUGUGCUUAACACAUGCAAGUCGAACGGUAAGGCCCUUUCGGGGGUACACGAGUGGCGAACGGGUGAGUAACACGUGAGUAACCUGCCCUCAUCUCUGGGAUAACAGUCGGAAACGGUUGCUAAUACUGGAUAUGAGCUUGCAAGGCAUCUUGUGGGUUGGAAAGAUUUUUUUUGGUUGGGGAUGGACUCGCGGCCUAUCAGCUUGUUGGUGAGGUAGUGGCUCACCAAGGCUUCGACGGGUAGCCGGCCUGAGAGGGCGACCGGCCACAUGGGGACUGAGAUACGGCCCAAACUCCUACGGGAGGCAGCAGUGGGGAAUAUUGCACAAUGGACGGAAGUCUGAUGCAGCAACGCCGCGUGCGGGAUGACGGCCUUCGGGUUGUAAACCGCUUUCAAUUGUGACGAAGCGUUUUUGUGACGGUAGCAGUAGAAGAAGCACCGGCUAACUACGUG
rnacentral:rRNA from 1 species